rnacentral:lncRNA from 1 species
AAAUCAUUUUUCUGAAAGCCAAUUCGAAAAUAAGCUAUCUUUAUAAAUCAAAGUCAACGAAAAAAAACAACAUUUAGACACCAAAUAUAACUUCAAAACCCCACAAUAUAUAUAUAUAUAUAUAUAGAGAGAGAGAGAGAGAGAGAGAGAGAGAGAGAGAGAGAGUUGAGCUAGAAUACUCUCGAUAUUAAACGGAGUGUUUUACUAUCGAGUUGUUUUCGAUAAUAGAGCUUCCAAAUUGACGAUCGGCUCCGUUAAAUAUGAUCUAAACCAUUUAAACUACCUAGAAAUUAAAUUUUACG